CCUGCCCAUAGAGGUGGCCCAGGUGUGGCUGCUAUGUAACCAGAGCAUCCCUAGGUAACAGAGAAGAGGUUAUGUCUAGGCUAAGUAUUCUGACCUUGGAAUAUCUGAAUCAUUAGAAGUCUAACAUU
ensembl:snoRNA Gm25711 small nucleolar RNA SNORA17